UGCCAUAAAAAUAGGACUUUCUCAAUCGCCCUUUUAGUACUCUAAGUUGGUCAAUGACAGAACUUUCAGUUUCCAUACAAGACAUGCAAGAAAUAGGCCAGGUUUAUGUUUAUCCAUGGACCAAAUACAGAUCAUAUCAACACUUCCCACUCAUUUGUUAGAUGUACUCCUGGUAGUGGACAGUGUGCAGACCAUUACUAAUUCAUCUGGAGUUUUUUAUAAAGAAUACUGUAAACCACCAAGGAACGUUGUUGCAAGUUAGAGUUAUGACAUCCUGACGUAGUACUGGGUUUGACGGUACAGCCGUACAAGCUACAUAUCAACUUCCCAUUCUAUGGCCUAUCACAAAGAAGUUAUUUGAAUACAAGAUUAAUUGGAGUUUUUGAAGCAGAUCUUCGAGGCCUAACAUCAGCAUUGGUUACUUUAUCACCCAACAAACAACAUUCUUAUGGCUUAAUCAAAGAUCGAAAAUCAAGGUACCGCAUUGGGAGAAUUGGAGAAGAGUUGGUAUAGAUGCACUAGAAUGAGUUUGUAUGCUGUAUGUUUAUUAUUUCAACUAUUGUCUG